UGGCGGACGGGUGAGUAAUGUCUGGGAAACUGCCCGAUGGAGGGGGAUAACUACUGGAAACGGUAGCUAAUACCGCAUAACGUCGCAAGACCAAAGAGGGGACCUUCGGCCUCUUGCCAUCGGAUGUGCCCAGAUGGGAUUAGCUAGUAGGUGGGGUAAAGGCUCACCUAGGCGACGAUCCCUAGCUGGUCUGAGAGGAUGACCAGCCACACUGGAACUGAGACACGGUCCAG
rnacentral:rRNA from 1 species